GUGGGGAAUAUUGCACAAUGGGCGAAAGCCUGAUGCAGCAACGCCGCGUGAAGGAUGAAGGCCUUUGGGUCGUAAACUUCUGUCCUUGGGGAAGAAAAAAAUGACGGUACCCCUGGAGGAAGUCCCGGCUAACUACGUGCCAGCAGCCGCGGUAAUACGUAGGGGGCGAGCGUUAUCCGGAAUUAUUGGGCGUAAAGAGUACGUAGGUGGUUUUUUAAGCGCAGGGUUUAAGGCGAUGGCUCAACUGUCGUUCGCCCUGUGAACUGGAAGACUUGAGUACAGGAGAGGAAAGCGGAAUUCCUAGUGUAGCGGUGAAAUGCAUAGAUAUUAGGAGGAACACCAGUGGCGAAGGCGGCUUUCUGGACUGUAACUGACACUGAGGUACGAAAGCGUGGGGAGCAAACAGGAUUAGAUACCCCAGUAGUCC
rnacentral:rRNA from 1 species